rnacentral:rRNA from 1 species
UUCCGGUUGAUCCUGCCGGACCCGACUGCUAUCGAAGUGGGACUAAGCCAUGUUAGUCGAACGCCUUUCAACUAUGUGAUUGGCGUGGCGUACGGCUCAGUAACACGUUGUUAACCUACCCUGAAGACGUGGAUAACCCCGGGAAACUGGGAUUAAACCACGAUAGAUCAAGACCCCUGGAAUGGAUCUUGUUCCAAAGGAAGGAUGAGCAUGUUCAUUUAUUUGCCUCAGGAUGGGACUGCGUCCGAUCAGGUUGUUGGUGGAGUAAUAGCCCACCAAGCCUGUGACCGGUAUGGGCUUUGAGAGAAGGAGCCCGGGGAUGGACACUGAGAAAAGAGUCCAGGUCCUACGGGGCGCAGCAGGCGCGAAACCUUCGCAAUGCACGAAAGUGCGACGAGGCUACUUCGAGUGCUAUCCGCUGAGGAUAGCUUUUGUCAGGUGUAAAAAGCCUGAAGAAUAAGGGGAGGGCAAGUCUGGUGUCAGCCGCCGCGGUAAUACCAGCUCCCCGAGUGGUCGGGAUGAUUAUUGGGCCUAAAGCAUCCGUAGCCUGCUCCGCAGGUCUUCUGUUAAAUUCAACGGCUUAACCGUUGAGCUGCAGGAGAUACCACGGGGCUAGGAGGCGGAAGAGGUAGACGGUACUCCAUGGGUAGGGGUAAAAUCCUCUGAUCCAUGGAAGACCACCAGUGGCGAAGGCGGUCUACCAGAACGCACUCGACGGUGAGGGAUGAAAGCUGGGGGAGCGAACCGGAUUAGAUACCCGGGUAGUCCCAGCUGUAAACGAUGCGAGCUAGGUGACGGAAUGGUUCCGUACCAUUCCGGUGCCGCAGGGAAGCCGUUAAGCUCGCCGCCUGGGGAGUACGGUCGCAAGACUGAAACUUAAAGGAAUUGGCGGGGGAGCACCACAAGGGGUGAAGCCUGCGGUUCAAUUGGACUCAACGCCGGAA